GCCGCUGUGGCGAAAUGGCAGACGCAUUGGAUUUAAAAUCCAAGGACCCGUAAAGGGUCGUGUGGGUUCGAGUCCCACCAGCGGUA
rnacentral:tRNA from 1 species